rnacentral:lncRNA from 1 species
AGCACGAUGAAGAUAUGAAGCUUCUUGGACAAAAAAUCGAAGUGUUACAGACCAUUGGAGCUGCGCAUGCUCCGCUGGCAACGCAUUUUCCUCAACGACCCUUACAUCAACAAGAACCUGAACCAGAUUACACUUGGAAGAUAGCAAACUUUACAAGAAAGCUUGCUCAAGCAAAAUCUGACAAUGAUCAUGGUAUGAUUGAAAGUGAACCUUUUUUCACAAGCCAUGGUUACAAAAUGAAACUUGUUGUCCAUUUUAAUGAAGCACCAUCUGGUUACGCAGGCUACAUGGGUGUUUAUUUAAUUUUAAUGAAAAGUGAUCGAGAUGCAGCCCUACCCUGGCCUUUCACAAAGCGUUACACACUUGUUCUUGUUGAUCAGCAAGAUGAUAUUAGUCAAAGACAAAACAUUGAGACCGCAUUUACUCCAAAUGGACAGGAAGAGUUUAAUAAGAGACCAAGACAGCGUGAGAAUAGUGGAAGGGGAGAUCCUCAGUUUGUUAAACAUUCAACCCUACGUACUCGUCAGUACAUUAGAGACCAUGCUGUAUACAUCAAGAUCAUGGUAGAUCCAUGAAAAAUAACGAUAAUUAUAUUUUGUUCGGACGGUUACCUAGAGAACUGUAUAUACAAUGGAGACAUUCGCGAUAGUUUGCAUUUUGAAAGUUCUGGCAUUCCCCUGAAGAUUGCCAUUUUCCUGAUUGUUAAAAUGCAAUCAAAACGUAGAGAGUUAAUUUACAAGUAAUAUCCAAUGUUGUGCUUUCAUAGCAAUCUAUUAAAGGCAGUUGUAAUUUUUAAUCUAGUUCCGUAGCAUGUUGAAGAUUUAUUCAAAUUGUGCUCAUUUCUUACAAUAUAAGAAGAUUCUCAAAAAUUGAAGUAAUCUUUGAUGACGUCAUGUCCAACGUCUUAGUUCAAGUUAGCGGGAAGUUCGAGUUGAGCGAGUUUGAGGUAUGGCGGCGGAACGGGUUUUAUUUUGAGGGACUAAUUUUCAGUCCGGUUGGGUACCGUAGUUUUCAGUUAAGUGCAAGCACGACAGGCAAAACAUGAUCGAAUUGUCACAGCAGUAGCGUAACUUCAUGAUAUCUAAAGUUAGGAGGGCUGAAAACUAAGGGAGUCUGGGUACAAGCUCCUUCGGACAGAUUUGAAAAAUCGGGGCUCGCAUUUUUC